GUCUUUCCUGCACUGCUACAGUGGGAAGGAGGAAAGUUGAUGUACAUACUGACUUAUGUCUAUCAGGCCUGUCUGGCCUUUAAAUACACUCCCCUUGCCUGGCGGGAAGUUAGGGUCAUCUUCAUACCCAAGCAAGGUGUCACGGACAGCCCUCUAUGCAGAGGUUGCCUGGGGGCAGAGGAAACAGCCGCUCACGUUCUGCUGGAAUGCAGUGAGGUGGCAAACUACAGGGCGAAGCACCUGGGGUCAC